GGUGACUACGGGCCAGCAGCGGGGGUAAUACGUAGGGGGGAAGCGUUAUCCGGAAUCACUGUGCGUAAAGCGUGCGUAGGUGGCGCGUUAAGUGAGAGUUUAAAGCGUGUGGCUGAACCAUAGCGAUGCGUCUCAUACUGGCGUGCUAGAGGGCAGCAGAGGCAAGUGGAAUUGGUAGGGUAGCAGUGAAAUGCGUAGAUAUUACCAGGAACACCAAUGGCGAAGGCAGCUUGCUGGGCUACUCCUGACACUGAGGUACGAAAGCGUGGGGAGCGAACAGGAUUAGAUACCCUUGUAGUC
rnacentral:rRNA from 1 species